rnacentral:misc_RNA from 1 species
AAGGACUAUUUGGGAGUAUCAUGGAACAAAUUGGAGAAAUUUAACUAUUCAUUUAAUGCAAAACAUGGUCUGAGAUGGAGUAAAGUUGUUUUGAAAAGACCUUUGCUGCUUAACUGGCAGUAGAAUUAAGGGUUUUAUGAAUAAUCAUACAAAAAUGAGGUUAACAAAAUUUAUUAACUAACAGAGCUGUUGAAAUUCAAGAAAGUUCUCUUAAAUUUGAACGAGGAAGGAUUUGCAGACAGAAAAAUACGGAGAAUAACAUGCAUGCGUUUUCACUCUGGAAAUAAAUUAAAAUGUUAGAAGCAAUUAAAUUUUCACU